GAACAGAGAUCCCCAGGGCUUGAACACAGAGAAUGCAUAGGCUGAGCUAAAGUUGAGAGGGGCUUCUCUCUAAUCUCAUCCUCACUGUGUACUCUACCUGUUGCCCCCUCAGGAGGCUCGGGUAUCUGGUGUCCCCACCCACAACCUCUCACAUAAAUUCUCACUCCUUCUUCCAGGGACAACAGCCAAUCUGGGCUCAGAUGCCAUUCAGGCAUUUUUCACCUCGGAUUUCCCCCACUGCCGUUGUGCCUGGGACCUCAAUGCUCCUCUUCCACUGGGCAGGGCCAGUUCUCCAGGUCCUGGUUUCAACCUGCUCCAAACCUUGAGGGCAGUGUCAGAGAAUGGCCACAUUACGAGAACAGAGGCGAAUCUGGACCUGGAGAAGUCUUGUCCUUUGGCCCUGCACCAGUUGGACCCAAAAUCCGAGAGGACUAGAACAGCUGUAAACGUUGACACAUGUUGCAAGAAGAAAUACUCUUGUAAGAAAUACUAUGGAGAGGGACACCUGAUGGCACGGGCUUGUGCUUUCUUGCCUCCGAUUGAGACAGCAGUGCAAUGGAGAAGGGACAGUAAGUACAUUCUUUAUGACAUUGGCCACAUUUUCCCGAAGCAGGCUGGAGCUCACUCUGUGCUUGCCCUUGCAAUAGCUGAUGUUUCUGAAUGACCAAGUUUUUCUGAAUUUAACUGCUACUGGUUUACAUUCAAUAUCUGCCAAGUAAUCUGCAAGGAUAUAAGCUGAUACAGGUUCCUAUACCUGGGCCUGUAGCCCUACCACACUAGUUCCUUUUUUUUAAAUUUUAUUUUUAAUUUAUUAAAAUUUACAUCCAAAUUAGUUAGCAUAUAGUGCAACAAUGAUUUCAGGAGUAGAUUGCUUAGUGCCCCUUACUCAUUUAGCCCA